UCAAGCUAGAAAGGGCUCAUGGUGGAUACCUAGGCACACAGAGGCGAAGAAGGACGCGGUUACCGGCGAUACGCCACGGGGAGCAGGAAGCAUGCCUUGAUCCGUGGGUUUCCGAAUGGGGCAACCCCAAGUACGAAAGAGCGAACGCAGCGAACUGAAACAUCUUAGUAGCUGUAGGAAAAGAAAGAAACCUCGAUUCCCUGAGUAGCGGCGAGCGAAACGGGAAGAGCCUAAACCAGCAGUUUCGACUGCUGGGGUCGUGGGACAGCAACAUGUACUGGAAAAGUUAGACGAAGUAGCUGAAUACUACACCAGAGGGGGUGAAAGUCCCGUAGUCGAAAACUGGAACAGGCUAGCUGAAUCCCGAGUAGCUUGGAGCACGUGAAAUUCCGAGUGAAUCAGCGAGGACCACCUCGUAAGGCUAAAUACUCCUGUGUGACCGAUAGCGAAUAGUACCGCGAGGGAAAGGUGAAAAGAACCCCAGGAGGGGAGUGAAAUAGAACAUGAAACCAUGAGCUUACAAGCAAUGGGAGUCCGAUUCAACGGAUGACCGUGUGCCUGUUGAAGAAUGAGCCGGCGACUUAUAGGCACUGGCAGGUUAAGGCGGGAAUGCCGAAGCCAAAGCGAAAGCGAGUCUGAAAGGGCGCUAGUCAGUGUUUAUAGACCCGAACCCGGGUGAUCUAACCAUGUCCAGGAUGAAGCUUGGGUGAUACCAAGUGGAGGUCCGAACCGACUGAUGUUGAAAAAUCAGCGGAUGAGGUGUGGUUAGGGGUGAAAUGCCAAUCGAACCCGGAGCUAGCUGGUUCUCCCCGAAAUAUGUUGAGGCAUAGCGGUUAGAGCUAUAGUUGGGGGGUAGAGCACUGGUUCGGUGCGGGCUGCGAGAGCGGUACCAAAUCGAAAUAAACUCCGAAUACCCAGCGUGAAUCUAGCCAGUCAGACUGUGGGGGAUAAGCUCCAUAGUCAAGAGGGAAACAGCCCAGACCAUCAGCUAAGGUCCUCAAAUUCUAACUUAGUGAUAAAGGAGGUGGGAGUGCAUAGACAACCAGGAGGUUUGCCUAGAAGCAGCCAUCCUUAAAAGAGUGCGUAAUAGCUCACUGGUCAAGCGCUCCUGCGCCGAAAAUGAAUGGGGCUAAAUUCUGUACCGAAGCUGUGGGAUUAGAAAUAAUCGGUAGGGGAGCGUUCCGUUGUAGAGAGAAGUACUAGCGGCAAGCAGGUAUGGACGAAACGGAAGUGAGAAUGUCGGCUUGAGUAGCGCAAACAUUGGUGGGAAUCCAAUGCCCCGAAAUUCCAAGGGUUCCUCCGCAAGGCUCGUCCACGGAGGGUUAGUCGGGACCUAAGGCGAGGCUGAAGAGCGUAGUCGAUGGACAACAGGUUUAUAAUCCUGUACUGAUUAAAGAUAGUGAAGAGGGACGGAGAAGGCUAACACAGCCGGAUAAUGGAUACCGGUGUAAGUACACGAGGUGAAGAGGGAUGGAGAGAACAUCCUGAGCUGAGGUAUGAGUCGGAGGAUUUACGAAUCCGAAGUGUGUGAUGUCAGGCUUCCAAGAAAAGCUCUAACCACGAUAAUUUUUAAUUACCCGUACUCUAAACCGACACAGGUGGAAAGGUAGAGAAUACCAAGGGGCGCGAGAUAACUCUCUCUAAGGAACUCGGCAAAAUGACCCCGUAACUUCGGGAGAAGGGGUGCCUGCGAGAGCAGGUUGCAGUGAAGAGGCCCAGGCGACUGUUUACCAAAAACACAGGUCUCCGCAAAGUCGUAAGACGAAGUAUGGGGGCUGACGCCUGCCCAGUGCCGGAAGGUUAAGGAAGUUGGUCAGCGGUAACGUGCAGCUAGCGACCGAAGCCCCGGUGAACGGCGGCCGUAACUAUAACGGUCCUAAGGUAGCGAAAUUCCUUGUCGGGUAA
rnacentral:rRNA from 1 species